rnacentral:lncRNA from 1 species
CAUAAUUUCAGCCCUACUUUACAAAGAAGACAAACUCUGGGAUCUUCAAGCUCUAUGGAGAUCAUGCUAGAUCCAGGCUACAGUACGAUGGACAAAUUUGGUGGUGAAUUCAGCAGCAGGAAGAAUGUAACUGAUUCGGACGACUAUGAUGAUGUGGAUAUGUAAGUUCUGUCUUAACCACUUAUAGUUUAAAACUGGCUUGGGAAUUCUGGGAGUUGAAGU